UACGGGGGGGGCAAGCGUUGUUCGGAAUUACUGGGCGUAAAGGGCUCGUAGGCGGCCAACUAAGUCGGAUGUGAAAUCCCCAGGCUCAACUUGGGAGCUGCAUCCGAUACUGGAUGGCUUGAAUUCGGGAGAGGGAUGCAGAAUUCCAGGUGUAGCGGUGAAAUGCGUAGAUAUCUGGAGGAAUACCGGUGGCGAAGGCGGCAUCCUGGACCGACAUUGACGCUGAGGAGCGAAAGCUAGGGGAGCAAACGGG
rnacentral:rRNA from 1 species